UACGUAGGGUGCGAGCGUUGUCCGGAAUUAUUGGGCGUAAAGAGCUCGUAGGCGGCCUGUCGCGUCGGAUGUGAAAGCCCGGGGCUUAACCCCGGGUCUGCAUUCGAUACGGGCAGGCUAGAGUGUGGUAGGGGAGAUCGGAAUUCCUGGUGUAGCGGUGAAAUGCGCAGAUAUCAGGAGGAACACCGGUGGCGAAGGCGGGUCUCUGGGCCGAUACUGACGCUGAGGAGCGAAAGCAUGGGUAGCGAACAGG
rnacentral:rRNA from 1 species